CCUGGUCGGUAGUCAGGGCUCUUGUUCUCUCUGGUAUCAGCCAUUCCUCCAGCCUGCAGGGGCCAUCCACAAAAACAAUAUAUCCUUUUUCCUGAAGGACCCACCAAGGAUGGACAGGAAGGAGAUCAGCAGAAGAAUAUUGGACCUCACCUUGGAGAUCGUCUCCCUGCUGAGCGGAGAGGAGUACACAAAAGUGAAGAAGAAAUCGGGAGACUGUGUGACUCCCAUCAUCCAUCUCCAGGAGUCAGGAGGGUGGAGCAGGACCCCUCACCCCAUCACAGAGCCUCCCCCUCACCCCCUGAUACAUGAGCAGAAGAUCCUAGA